rnacentral:rRNA from 1 species
UACGAAGGGGGCUAGCGUUGCUCGGAUUUACUGGGCGUAAAGGGUGCGUAGGCGGAUUGGUAAGUUGGAGGUGAAAGCCCAGGGCUCAACCCUGGAAUUGCCUUCAAAACUGCUAGUCUUGAGUUUGGGAGAGGUAAGUGGAAUUCCGAGUGUAGAGGUGAAAUUCGUAGAUAUUCGGAAGAACACCAGUGGCGAAGGCGACUUACUGGACCAAUACUGACGCUGAGGCACGAAAGCGUGGGGAGCAAACAGG